GGGAGUGUAGCUCAGUGGUUAGAGCAGGCCACUCAUAAUGGCUAGGUCGCGGGUUCGAAUCCUGCCACUCCUA
rnacentral:tRNA from 1 species